GACUGGGUACGCUCUACACCCUUUGUGACAUACCUAUAACUGUUGCUUCGGCGGGUAGGGUCUCCGCGACCCUCCCGGCCUCCCGCCUCCGGGCGGGUCGGCGCCCGCCGGAGGAUAACCAAACUCUGAUUUAACGACGUUUCUUCUGAGUGGUACAAGCAAAUAAUCAAAACUUUUAACAACGGAUCUCUUGGUUCUGGCAUCGAUGAAGAACGCAGCGAAAUGCGAUAAGUAAUGUGAAUUGCAGAAUUCAGUGAAUCAUCGAAUCUUUGAACGCACAUUGCGCCCGCCAGCAUUCUGGCGGGCAUGCCUGUUCGAGCGUCAUUUCAACCCUCAAGCUCUGCUUGGUGUUGGGGCCCUACAGCUGAUGUAGGCCCUCAAAGGUAGUGGCGGACCCUCUCGGAGCCUCCUUUGCGUAGUAACUUUACGUCUCGCACUGGGAUCCGGAGGGACUCUUGCCGUAAAACCCCCAAUUUUCCAAAGGUUGACCUCGGAUCAGGUAGGAAUACCCGCUGAACUUAAGCAUAUCAAAAGCCCGGAGGAAA
rnacentral:rRNA from 1 species